rnacentral:rRNA from 1 species
UACGAAGGGUGCAAGCGUUACUCGGAAUUACUGGGCGUAAAGAGCUCGUAGGUGGUUUGUCGCGUUGUUCGUGAAAUCUCACGGCUUAACUGUGAGCGUGCGGGCGAUACGGGCAGACUAGAGUACUGCAGGGGAGACUGGAAUUCCUGGUGUAGCGGUGGAAUGCGCAGAUAUCAGGAGGAACACCGGUGGCGAAGGCGGGUCUCUGGGCAGUAACUGACGCUGAGGAGCGAAAGCGUGGGGAGCGAACAGG